rnacentral:rRNA from 1 species
UACGUAGGGUGCAAGCGUUGUCCGGAAUUAUUGGGCGUAAAGAGCUCGUAGACGGUCUGUCGCGUCUGCUGUGAAAACUCAGGGCUUAACCCUGAGCUUGCAGUGGGUACGGGCAGACUAGAGUGCGGUAGGGGAGACUGGAAUUCCUGGUGUAGCGGUGAAAUGCGCAGAUAUCAGGAGGAACACCGGUGGCGAAGGCGGGUCUCUGGGCCGUAACUGACGCUGAGGAGCGAAAGCAUGGGGAGCGAACAGG